rnacentral:lncRNA from 1 species
AAAAGACAUUAGAAACACUUACGGGAAGAAGCCAAAAAAAUGACAAAAGUGUUGAUGCUUCAAUCAACAAAUUCACAAUCUAUUUGUUAUCAAUAAAUUAUAACACUUUUUCAACCAUACUUUGCAAAAAUAAAAUAUUUUUAUGCAUGUAAUCAACUCCAUGUUAAUUAAGAGAAAAUGGUACAACUCUAAUACAAGAUGAAUAUAUCUUUUUUUGUUUCAAUAUAUCAUAAGAAAAAAGAGUUACAAUAACAAGAGAAAAUAAAUACACACUUAUUGUACAUCAAUAAUGUAUCAUGGAUAUAUACCUAUUAUAAUUAUUACGUAGGUAAUAUAAAUAGAUAGAAUUAAAUAAAAAUAGAUUAAUUUCAUAAUACUUUCUAGAAAAGCUUCAUAGAAGCUUCUUAGAUGUUGUUUUGAUUUUACAUAUGUUU